rnacentral:lncRNA from 10 species
CACCAUGUCCUUCCUUCUGCUCCAACCAGUCUGCACUGCCUGUGGUUUUGGGAUAGCAAGUCCGCACUUGACACAUAUUCAAAUGGACACUUUCCUGCCAUACCUUGACAUUGUCUGGUUUGAUAAUUUGCCGAUCUCUUUGCCGUAGAAGAUUCACCCAAACCUGAAUGGGAUUGGGUUUCCAUGACCCGUGAGUCAAUUGCCAUGAUAACACACAACUGAGAUCCCUGACGAAAAGGAAGUAAGUGAGGUAAGACCUGAACUCACAUGGCUUUCUGCCAGGAAGCAUGUAACAAACCAUGAGAAAGGGAGGAGAAAUCACAGAGAAGAAUCUUAUCACUGAGACAGUCAAAAACUUUCAAAAGACUUGACCAGAAACGUCAUGAAAGAAGAUAUUUGAAUGGCCAAUAAAUACAUGAAAAGAUGCUCGUCAUAAUCUUCAUAAUCAUAAUCAUAAGAGAAAUGCAAUUAAAACCACAAUGAGGCAACAUUACAUGUCCACUACAAAAGCUAAAAAUAAAAAUAAAAAAAAUGACAAGACCAAAUGUUGUCAGCGAUGUGGAGCAACUGGAAUUCUUGAACAUCUGAUGGGAGUGUAAAAUUUUAUCAUCACUUUGGGAAACAGUUUGGCAGUUCCUUAGAAAGUGAAAUAUACAUUUACCAUAUGACCCAGCAAUUCCACACUUCAGUGUUUACCCAAGAGAAAAUGUAUCCACACAAGGAUUUGUACAUAAAUGUUCACUGCAGCUUUAUUCAUCACAGUUGAAAACUGGAACCAAGCCAAAUGUCAAAAAACUGGCGAGUGAUAACCAAAUUGUUGUAUAUUCAUACGAUGGAAUACUACUUGGUAAUAACAAAGAAUGAACUAUGCAACCUGAACUAUGUAGUAACAUGAAUGAAUCUUAGAAAACAUGGAUGAUGAGUAAGGUAAUCUGACACCAAAGAGUACACACAUUGUAUGUUUCUUUUAUAAGAAAUUCUAGCCCAGGCAAAACUAGUAUAUACUGUGAGAAAGCAAAUCUGUGUUUGCCUAGGGCCAGGGUUGCGGGAAAAUUGAAGAUGAGCACAGUUGUUUCUGGAAAUUUGGGGGAACUUAGAACUUUGAUUAUAG